AUAAAUACGAUGAAGAGGAAGAGUAGCCUUCCCAAAGCAUACAGAGAGCUGCUGGUUGGUGCAAAGCAGUUGCGGACGGAAUGUGAACUGGCCUUGAAGUAGCUCGCUGAAAUGUGGGAGGAUUCCUGCAAGAGUAGGUGGAGACGGAGCCUGACCGUUACAGCAGGAGGGUAUAAGGUCGAUGCAAGAGCAGAGGAGACCCGUAUCCGUUGAGUGCAUGCCGAAUCGGCAUGAAUGUAGAGUGGUACCGCGUAAGAUGAUAAAAGUCUUUCGUCUCUAGA
rnacentral:ncRNA from 1 species